rnacentral:rRNA from 1 species
UACGUAGGGUGCAAGCGUUAAUCGGAAUUACUGGGCGUAAAGCGUGCGCAGGCGGUUUUGCAAGACAGAUGUGAAAUCCCCGGGCUUAACCUGGGAACUGCAUUUGUGACUGCAAGGCUAGAGUGUGUCAGAGGGAGGUGGAAUUCCGCGUGUAGCAGUGAAAUGCGUAGAGAUGCGGAGGAACACCGAUGGCGAAGGCAGCCUCCUGGGAUAACACUGACGCUCAUGCACGGAAGCGUGGGGAGCAAACAGG